UCACUACAUGUCUCUCGCUGUGUGAAGGUUCUGAUGAUGACAUGGGCGAUGGCUACACUAACUAUAUGUGAUUGCCAGAGCCAGUAAAUUAAUGUUAAGACACUCUGUUAUGCUCUAGCCCAGUAUAUUGUGAACACUAUGGGGUUGUUUGGUUCUAGGCCUAGGAAUGUCACACUUUGCCAUACAAUGUUGUCAAACUUGCCUAAGGUUAGUUCUGCAAAAUGAGAGCCACAAGUUGGCAAGCCUAAAGGAAUCUUGCCACACUUGUUGUGUGUAUGUGAUGUGGGACCAUAGUGUGGCUUGCCUAAGAUGUGGCUUGAACCAAACACACACCUAAGUUGGUCAAAUUUGCCUAACCUUAGGUGUGGCAAGCUUUGGCAAAUUUAGUCUCAAACCAAACAAACUCUAUGUAUUCUGCCCGCUCUAAAAACUUCAUGCAUCACUUGUGUUAGUUAGUUGCUUAGAUAACUUUCUCUAUCCACUGUAAUAUGUGCAUUUGCUAUGUAUUGAACCUACCAUCAAUGGCAUGUUCUUUACCAGCAUUUCCCUGUAUGCUUGUUGAUCGUCGUAUAUUUUCUUCAACACUUAUAUGCCCUCUUUCGGUAUAGUUAUAUUGUGGGUUCUACUUAUGUAAGAGCACACUUCUAUUCUUCUUCUUUGUUUGAAUGCCCUCUAUUUUUCCUGUGUUUUCCUUCUCCACAAUGAGGUCAAUUUCGAUACCGAUGACAUAGGCAGCAAUGACUCUACCUGAUCUUAGUUACCAUAAGCUGGGUGACCAAAGCUAUUUCAAUGGCACAUCUCUGCCUAUGUACCUUCGCUUAUAUCAUGAACUGAUCUCAUGCCUUUAUUUUGCAAUAUGAACCUACCAUCAAUGUAAUAUAUAGGGCCAUGUAUGAACAUCAUACCUAAACAUCUACUCCCUCCGUUCCGUUCCUAAAUACAAGUCUUUUUACAGAUUUCAAAGCGGACUACAUACGGUGCAUCAAAGAUUUGCUUCUUUCGAUAAUUAAUAUUAGUUAUCCAUUUGCAGUAUAAUUAAUCUCUCUAAUUAGUAACAUUGUUAUUGCAAAUGAUCCCAGUAUUUUUUUAUUUACUUUUGCAUAUUGCUGCUUUGAUUAAUAUUCCACCCAAAGAAUAAUAUUUUUAUAUCUCUAAUUUCUACUUUGCAGCAAUGGAUAGUUGUGCUUUAGUUCCUCUAGCUUUUUUUUCCGAAGAUGUAGUUCCUCUAGCCUUUUGUAGAAACUAGGUACCUCCUGUACUUUGGUAUAUAUAAGUCUUUUGUAGAAACUAUUGUUAAUAUCUCAAAAAUAAGAAUGUUGCCUUUUCCUUUACUUGUGUACUUAGAACCAAAUUGUUCGUUACCAAUUGUAUCGGGACACUAUUUAUAGAAGAUACGGCUUACUGUGCAUUGAAACAAUAGCCGCAGAGUUUGGUCUUUGUAUUAUCUUUGUAUAUUUGAUUUGGAUUUGUCCUGAUUUAAGUAAAGAACCCUCCAUUAGUACUGAACCGUUUUGUGUUCAUUCUGUUGUUGUCUCCAGACAUUUGUAUUUGGAGAAUCAUUCUGAAACCAGGGUUCAAAGCGCUGAGAAAAUAUGGUUCUAUUUCUCAAUCUUGUGCUAAUGCUUCAAAGGGAGAUGUACAAAAAGAAUCAUAAUUGUUGACGCAUAUCUACUAGCAGACUAAAAGGAUUGGUUGCUACUCCAUUCAAUGACUAUGUUUUUAGCAAAGUGGCUCGCAUCUUUCACUGAACAUUUUGUUUAUUAGUGUGUUUGCAUAGAACACUGGAAUGCCCAGCAAGGUACUGAGGUGUUAUGUAACUAUCUGAACUCUUCUGUAGGCGUUUCUUCUCUGUUGUUUUUC
rnacentral:lncRNA from 1 species